rnacentral:lncRNA from 1 species
UGGUCUCCAACCUUUGUACUAUUUUCUACUUUGGUUUCUAACAUUUUUUUAUUUUACAAUCUCAACCUCUUAAUUUUGUUGUGAUUACGUCCCAACCGUUAAAAGAUCUGUUAAAAUUAACGAAAUCUUCUUGUCAGCGCCUACUUGUAUUUCUUUACGUGUAAAUUUUGGUCUUUAAACUUUACAUAUUUUUCACUUUAGUCUUCACAAAUUAAAAUUCAAAAUUUUAAAUUUAAAUUCAAAAUUAAUAAUAAAAUUAAAAUUUUAAACUAAACGAAAAUUAGAAUUUUGAAUUUGAAUUAAAUUUUGAAUUUGAAGUAAAAUU